rnacentral:rRNA from 1 species
UACGUAGGGGGCAAGCGUUGUCCGGAAUCAUUGAGCGUAAAGAGCGUGUAGGCGGCCCGAUAAGUCCGCUGUGAAAGUCCAGGGCUCAACCCUGGGAUGCCGGUGGAUACUGUCGGGCUCGAGUCCGGAAGAGGCGAGUGGAAUUCCUGGUGUAGCGGUGAAAUGCGCAGAUAUCAGGAAGAACACCAACGGCGAAGGCAGCUCGCUGGGACGGUACUGACGCUGAGACGCGAAAGCGUGGGGAGCGAACAGG